GAGGACGCUGAGGCUUAAAAAAGAGAUGCAAACCCGCAUUCUUCGCGGCUGGUCGGUUAUCCCAGCUCUCUCCUCUCUGAGCCAUCCCAGCAAAUCACACCACCGCUUGGCAAUUGUCUACAAGUUAACAGUUUUCAAAGGAUUUUCACUCUUUACCUCCUGUGAUCCCUUUUGCCCACUUGCCCAGCCUUGGGCUCCAGCCAGGGAAAAGAAGGAGGAAGCUGCUCCGACAGCGUGCCCCGACAUCCUUGACACUAUGCAAGACUGGAGGUGCGCACGGUAGCAGUAACCAUCCCAAACUCGCAAGCAUUAUUCUGUGAGUUUGAAGCCAUUUUACAUUUGUUAGACUUUCAACAUCCUUCAUCUAGCCUCCUCCUCUCAUCUUCUCUCCUCUAAAGUGGGCUAUUUUUCUUUAAUUCCCAAAUUCCAAUAGCAGAUGUAAAAGUUAGGGCUAACGCAUCAGAUCACGAACACAAGACUGAUGUGUCCAACAGCAGAAAAAGCUAGUCCAGAAGUUUAAGCACAUGGUCCACUUGACUAACCACCACGUGGGACCCUCAGGGCCCCUGGUCCCCAGGCAAUGGCAGGGACACCAAGGCCAGGUCUACCCUCAAAUCCUUCCCAAUGGCACGACAGACCGCUGGGGGACCAAGACCUACAAUCUAAGAAAAUCAGAUUGGAGCUGGCUAGCCUGGUGGAGGGUGGCUAGCCUAGGUCUGCAAAGGGCACAGGAAAGAUGGGAAGGAGAAAGAACCCCAAAUCCCCCAUGUCGGCAGCAAAGGAGAGACCCUUACUGGUACCACCGAUGGUGUUUCCAUGCCAAAGGCGAGGGGUUGGCGGGGUUCUAAAUUGAAACUUCUAUAUAGACUCGAAGAGGCAGUGCACAAGAGGGUGGGAAAGCUGACGAUCUUCCAGAACGACACUUUGAGAGGCAGGAGGGAAGUAAGGCUUGGGUGGCUGGAAAAAAAAAAUCCAAUCCAGCUAACAAGUCUUUAUGUAGCAUCUCCUAGUUCCUAGCACUAGGAUGCAACAGACCUGGAGUCUGACCGGGAAUGCGAGUAAUGACUGUAUAACAGAGAAGAGAGACGAGGGGCUUUUAAAAAGUUACUCGGAAAUUUUUUUGUUUUUUUUUUUUUUUAAGGCAAAGUGUGAGAGCUGUGGCCAGGGAGCUGCUGCACGGAGGGGCAUGAGCUGAGAAGGGCCUGGCCUGGGACGGGGAGGACAAGCAGUCUCUGCUAAGGAAGGUAUUUCCCGCGGCCGAGCAACUGGGAAGAAGGAGACCCCAAUGACCCAGCACUAAGAUCGCCGGAGCGAAAGGAAACAGAGGUGAGGAGGACCCAGGCGAGGUGCCUGGGUGGAGGGCAAGGCUUCCAUGUUGGCC
rnacentral:lncRNA from 10 species